rnacentral:rRNA from 1 species
AGGGCGUACGGUGAAUGCCUUGGUGCCAACAGGCGAAGAAGGACGCGGCAAGCUGCGAAAAGCCUCGGGAAGCUGCAAGCAAGCGAUGAUCCGGGGAUAUCCGAAUGGGGUAACCUGAUCGAGGCAAUACUCGAUCGUUCAUACCUGAAUACAUAGGGUAUGAAACGCGAAACCCGCUGAAGUGAAACAUCUCAGUAAGCGGAGGAAAAGAAAGAGAAAUCGAUUCCGUAAGUAGUGGCGAGCGAAAGCGGAUGGAGCCCAAACCGAAGGUAUUCCUUCGGGGUUGUAGGACCACGACCUAUUCGACCAUACUGGAUAGUAGAACAGCCUGGAAAGGCUGGCCGUAGAAGGUGAAAGCCCUGUAGACGAAAUCCAGAGUGGGAAUUAGUGGUAUCCUGAGUAAUACAUCACACGUGGAACGAUGUAUGAAACCGCGCGGACCACCGCGCAAGGCUAAAUACUAGUUGGCGACCGAUAGUGAACAAGUACCGCGAGGGAAAGGUGAAAAGAACCGCUGUGAGCGGAGUGAAAUAGAACCUGAAACCGUAUGUCUACAAAGUGUCAGAGCAGAGCAAUCUGCGAUGGCGUGCCUUUUGUUUAAUGAGUCUGCGAGUCAGUGUUUGUGGCAAGACUAAGGGCUUCCGGCCCGGAGUCGCAGCGAAAGCAAGUCCGAACAGGGCGCAAUAAGUCGCAGGUACUGGACCCGAAGCGGAGGUGACCUACCCUUGGCCAGGUUGAAGCAUGGGUAAAACCAUGUGGAGGACCGAACAGGUGAACGUUGAAAAGUUCUCUGAUGAGCUGAGGGUAGGAGUGAAAGGCUAAUCAAACCCCGUGAUAGCUGGUUCUCUUCGAAAUGCAUUUAGGUGCAGCGUCACGUGCUGAUGCGCGGGGGUAGAGCACUGACAAGGCUAGGGGGCACACCCGCUUACCAAACCUUAUCAAACUCCGAAUACCGUGCAAUGGAACGUGGCAGUGAGACAGUGGGGGAUAAGCUUCAUUGUCGAGAGGGAAACAACCCAGACCAGCAGCUAAGGUGCCUAAAUAACGCUCAGUGGAAAGGAUGUGGGAUUACACAGACAGUGAGGAUGUUGGCUUAGAAGCAGCCACCAUUUAAAAAAUGCGUAAUAGCUUACUCAUCGAGUGAUCCUGCGCCGAAAAUGAUUGGCGAUCAAGCGUUAUACCGAAGCUCUGGACUUUGCCGCAAGGCAGAGUGGUAGAAGAGCGUUGCAUGCGCGUCGAAGGGUGAUGGCGACUGACCCUGGAGCACAUGCAAGUGAGUAUGCAGACAUGAGUAACGUUAAGCCGGGUGAAAUCCCCGGCCGCCGUAAACCCGAGGUUUCCAGGGCAACGUGUUUCGUCCCUGGGUUAGCCGGGACCUAAGCCGAGGCCGAGAGGCGUAGGCGAUGGACAUCAGGUUAAUAAUCCUGAGCUCGCGACCCUUAAACUGGGGGGACGCAUGAGAAAAGAUGACUAGGUUAUUGAAUUCCGAGUUGAGUCUACGGACUCAGCGCAUCAUUGGAUCGAGUGCCAAGAAAAGCCCCAGCGUAUGCUAAGCGACCCGUACCGCAAACCGACACAGGUGGGUGGGUAGAAUAUACCAAGGCGUAAGAGUGAAACCUGGUUAAGGAACUCGGCAAAUUAGCCCCGUAACUUCGGAAGAAGGGGUGCCUGCAGCGAUGCAGGCCGCAGAGAAAUGGCCCAACCGACUGUUUAUCAAAAACACAGCACUCUGCAAAGACGCAAGUCGAAGUAUAGGGUGUGACACGUGACCAAUGCCGAAAGAUUAAGGCAAGGGGUUAGCCGCAAGGCGAAGCUCUGAACCCAAGUCCCGGUGAAUGUCGGCCGUAACUAUAACGGUCCUAAGGUAGCGAAAUUCCUUGUCGGGUAAGUUCCGACCUGCACGAAUCGUGAAACGAGUUGGGCACUGUCUCAACCAGGCGCUCAGUGAAAUUGUAGUGGCGGUGAAGAUGCCGCCUACCCGCAGAAGGACGGAAAGACCCUAUAGACCUUAACUGUAAGCUGUCAUUGUUUCUUCGGUUUUAAUGCUCAGAGUAAGUGGGAGACGCUGAAGACGCCCUUUAGGGGGCGUCCGAGUCAUCAAUGAGACACCACCCUUUGAAACUGGAGGAUCUAACCCUGAGCCGUGAAUCCGGCCAGAGGACCGUGUCAGCCGGUCAGUUUUACUGGGGCGGUAUCCUCCCAAAGAGUAACGGAGGAGCGCGAAGGUGGGCUCAGCCCGGUUGGCAACCGGGUGUCGAGUGCAUGGGCAUAAGCCCGCCUAACUGUGAGACCAACAAGUCGAGCAGAUGCGAAAGCAGGCCCAAGUGAUCCGGCGGUAGAAAGUGGAAUUGCCGUCGCUCAACGGAUAAAAGGUACCUUAGGGAUAACAGGCUGAUCACGCCCAAGAGUUCAUAUCGACGGCGUGGUUUGGCACCUCGAUGUCGGCUCGUCGCAUCCUGGGGCUGGAGAAGGUCCCAAGGGUCCGGCUGUUCGCCGGUUAAAGCGGCACGCGAGCUGGGUUCAGAACGUCGCGAGACAGUUCGGUCCUCUAUCCUCUGUGGGCGUUGGAAAAUUGAGGGGUUCAGACCUUAGUACGAGAGGACCGGGUCUGACGCACCACUGGUGCAUCGGUUGUACUGUCAAGUGCAUGGCCGAGUAGCUAAGUGCGGACGGGAUAAGCGCUGAAAGCAUCUAAGCGCCAAGCCCUUCCCAAGAUGAGUUUUCCCUACAGGUUCGUGGAAGACCACCACGUUGAUAGGUCGCAGGUGUAAGUGCAGCAAUGUAUUGAGCCAAGCGAUACUAAUUACCAAUUGACUUCAUC